CGGACGGGUGAGUAAUGUCUGGGAAACUGCCUGAUGGAGGGGGAUAACUACUGGGAACGGUAGCUAAUACCGCAUAACGUCGCAAGACCAAAGAGGGGGACCUUCGGGCCUCUUGCCAUCGGAUGUGCCCAGAUGGGAUUAGCUAGUAGGUGGGGUAACGGCUCACCUAGGCGACGAUCCCUAGCUGGUCUGAGAGGAUGACCAGCCACACUGGAGCUGAGACACGGUCCAG
rnacentral:rRNA from 1 species